rnacentral:rRNA from 1 species
UACGGAGGGUGCAAGCGUUAAUCGGAAUCACUGGGCGUAAAGCGCACGCAGGCGGUUUGUUAAGCCAGAUGUGAAAUCCCCAGGCUCAACCUGGGAACUGCAUUUGAUACUGGCAAGCUUGAGUCUCGUAGAGGUGGGUAGAAUUCCAGGUGUAGCGGUGAAAUGCGUAGAGAUCUGGAGGAAUACCGGUGGCGAAGGCGGCCCCCUGGACGUAGUCUGACGCUCAGGUACGAAAGCGUGGGGAGCAAACAGG